UGCGGUUCUAAAAUGAGUAAAUCGCUCGUUGCAAUUCAUUUUGUGAUCGUGAUUUCUUUGUUUGUUGGGAUAUUAUGUAUUGGAGAAAAGAUUCGGUUUAUUAGUACAGAGCGUCCAACCGUGACCUAUUGCGAUCAUGAAUUUAUUGCAUACUACAACCUGACUUCACGAAGGUACGGCAGGGCAGAUCCGUUCUACUAUGUGGAUAUUAAUUUUGAAGCAAAACAAUCUUUUGGGAACAAUUUCACUGUACAUUUCUAUUUCUUCGAGUCUUGGAGUACCACCUACAGACGAACAAUGAUCGAGAUGCAUAUGAAGUUUUGUGAUUUUAUAGAGAAAGAUUUGUUCUUCGGAGCCGC